rnacentral:rRNA from 1 species
GAUGAACGCUGGCGGCGUGCCUAAUACAUGCAAGUCGAGCGAACGGACGAGAAGCUUGCCUCUCUGAUGUUAGCGGCGGACGGGUGAGUAAAACGUGGAUAACCUACCUAUAAGACUGGGAUAACUUCGGGAAACCGGAGCUAAUACCGGAUGAUAUUUUGAACCGCAUGGUUCAAAAGUGAAAGACGGUCUUGCUGUCACUUAUAGAUGGAUCCGCGCUGCAUUAGCUAGUUGGUAAGGUAACGGCUUACCAAGGCAACGAUGCAUAGCCGACCUGAGAGGGUGAUCAGCCACACUGGAACUGAGACACGGUCCAGACUCCUACGGGAGGCAGCAGUAGGGAAUCUUGCGCAAUGGGCGAAAGCCUGACGGAGCAACGCCGCGUGAAUGAUGAAGGUCUUCGGAUCGUAAAACUCUGUUAUUAGGGAAGAACAUAUGUGUAAGAAACUGUGCACAUCUUGACGUUACCUAAUCAGAAAGCCACGGCUAACUACGUG